rnacentral:rRNA from 1 species
AGCUCCAAUAGCGUAUAUUAAAGUUGUUGCAGUUAAAAAGCUCGUAGUUGGAUUUCGGAACGGGCCAGUUGGUCCGCCGCAAGGUGAGUUACUGACUGGUCUGUUCUUCUUCGCAAAGACUGCGUGUGCUCUUCGUUGAGUGUGCGUAGGAUUUACGACGUUUACUUUGAAAAAAUUAGAGUGUUCAAAGCAGGCUAUCGCUUGAAUACAUGAGCAUGGAAUAAUGGAAUAGGACUUUGGUCCUAUUUUGUUGGUUUCUAGGACCGAAGUAAUGAUUAAGAGGGACAAUUGGGGGCAUCCGUAUUUCGUUGUCAGAGGUGAAAUUCUUGGAUUUACGAAAGACGAACAACUGCGAAAGCACUUGCCAAGAGUGUUUUCAUUAAUCAAGAACGAAAGUAGG